AAUAACAGCCGGAAACGGCUGCUAAUACCGCCAUAAUGCAGCGGCUCGACAUCGAGACAGUUGUUAAAGCGGGGGCUCUCGCAAGAGACCUCGCGCCUGAAGAGGAGCCUGCGGCAGAUUAGCUAGUUGGUAAGGUAAUGGCUUACCAAGGCGACGAUCUGUAACCGGCCUGAGAGGGCGGUCGGUCACACUGACACUGACAUACGGGUCAG
rnacentral:rRNA from 1 species